rnacentral:lncRNA from 1 species
CCAGGCCUGAGUUAUGCCUCCGGUCCAAGCUGCCCCCAAAUGUCACCUGCUCAGCAGGGUUAGGGAUAGGUGAGGUCAGGGCCAGAGUAGGGUGUAAGGGUGUACCAAUAUCUCAAAACUCCAGACACCGAGGGAGGGCUGAGUCAGGUCAGCCUGGUCUACAGAGAGACACUGUCUCAAAAUAAGAGAAAAGAAAAAAGCCAACAGUCCACAUGGGAGGCAGGAAUGAAGAAACAUCAGACCUUAAGGAAUGAAGCUGGGAAGCUUUUAUUUAAUUGGAAAACAGGCACAACAUUCAAUACAAGCUCCACCUCUCUGUUCUUCCACCCAAGCCUCCAUUUGCCGCUACCCAGGGUUGGGAGGGGACACUGGGUGAUCUGGGAAGUGUAACUUAACCCCAUGCCAAUGCCUGCAUCCUGUCUGGUUUGGAGAUACAGGCAACUUUUUAACUUCCAAGCCUGGAGACUACUCCAGCAAGCCCCAGUACCAGGGGAAGGGGUGGAUCUGUUCCUACCCUUUUAGGGCCCUGUGGACUUGCUCCCUGAAUCACUGUCUCCAGUGGAAAGCUGCAGGCCUCGUGGGGCACCAAGCACACCGGGUAAGGUCAGUGCUUUGUUGCGGAAGCUGGGAGUUGGCAUUUAACUGUCAGAGGGCCAAAAGCAGCUUCCUCUUGGGUAAGUGACUGCAGGGAAGGUGUAAGGGGUGGUGCCUGGGCCCCGCUGGGCUUAUGAGAAGAAGGGCUGCAGGCCCUGAGGGGGUACAGCUGGCCUGCCUUUUAUGCAAGGGUCAGCCACUCAUCCAUCUCUUCUCUGUGGGGACCAUAAAAAAUCUCAAGGUGUGGCCAUGUGGAGUGGCAUAUCCAGAUGAAGGUUAGAGGAAGGGCUAUAGCAGAUAGCUGGGCCUAGGCACAACUGAUGGGCCCACUCCUCCCAGGUCCCUACUCCAUCCAGGUCUCAAGUCAUGACAGACAUUCUGUAGGGGUGCCAGCUCCUAGGGGGCUGGACUCCUGUUCCUGCUGAACUGAGCCAGUGCACUGGAAUCAACUGUUUCAGCUCAGUAGGCACAGGAGGCGGAGCCCAGGGAGAAGGAGGCAGAGCAGGGUGGGCAGCAGAGUCUGAGGAGAUGGGGCCCGGGGGAGCGGAACUUAGCCACUGUGAACACGACUUGCUGCGGACCUUGCUCACAAGCAGCUAAGCCCUGCUCCUCAGGCCAGUUGUCAUGCUGGGCUUCUCUCUCACCCAGUACCCAAGAUAGGCAGUCAUCCUUGGCAACUGGAGCCUCCAAGGCAGAGCACAAGGUCAGUUGGAAAUCCCUGGCAAUGUGAUUUGUGACUGGCAUCAAAUCCCAUCCCCAGGAACCCCAGCCGGCCAAGGCACAGUGAGGGGACAGCAAGCAGGAUCGGAGUGUAGCACCUAUGGAGAAAAAGAGAGGAGAGAGAAUGAGAUAGGGAAUAUUCCUGCUUGCUGGCUUAUCAUUUCUUAUUACAUGGCAGGGUCUCCCAUGGCUGAGGCAGUUUCUGAACUGGUGAUUCCCCUGCCUCCACCUCUGGAGUCUAGAAUUACAGGCUCACCUCAACACCCUCAGUUUACAUGGUGCUAGGGACAGAGCUACACCCCAGCCCUCCAUCUGCUUCCAGGACAGAAGCCUCCCCACAGAGGAGCAUCCUAGGGAGAACUGAGUGAGCCAGCUAGAUGCUGGGCUCCCAGGAGUGCCUCUAGCCCCAGCCCUACAAAGUCGGAGGUGCCCAGGAAGCCCUACAGGCCAGACAGGACACAAAGCCCCCUCAGCGCUUUCCACUCAGUCUGUUUCUCUCUCCACCCACAGCCCUGAGCCCAAAGCAGGCCAAAUGGGGCCAAGGAGAGAGGAAGCUGAGGGAGGUGGGUGGUUGAGGGAGGAAGUGACCUCACCCCAGCUGGCGCCACUUCCUAGAAGCCUGAAAGGCAGAGGGAACUCCAGUACCUCCUCCUCCUGCCUCCAUAGCUGUCUCCUCCACAGCCUGCUCAGACACACCCCAGCCCCACCAACUCAGCACCCAUGCUGGGAGAAGCAGGCCUCUCUACCCCAAUAACUCAGCAAAGUUUAAGCAUCUGCUCCUCAAGUUUCCCAGAGGCCUUCCAAGCCUCAGUUUCCCCAUCUGUAAAGUAGACCAAGAAUAAUUGUGGUUGGUGGCUCAAGUUUAUCUCAGCAUUGGGGAGACUGAGGCGGGAGAGUUGUCAAGAAUCAAAGGCCUGCUUAAGCUACAUAAUGAGUUUUAGGCCAAACUAGGCUACAGUCUGAGACCCUAGUCUUAAAACAAACAAAGACCCUCUACCAGGUAGGUCAGUAUAAAUUUACAGAGAAGAAGCUAUUUGAUACUCAGCAUCCAAUGUAGAAUAGCUCCUACAUGCCAAUUAAAAGUUUCAGGGCCAGCAAGAUGGUCCAGCUAGUAAACAUACUCUCCAUCAAGCCCAAUGCCAUGAGCUCAAACUCCAAGAAACACAUAGUAGAAAAACAUACUGACCCCUUGCAAAUCAUCCUCGAAUCUCUCUGCACUUGUGACCACACACACUCAAAUGUAAAAAAUUCAGGAUUGGAGAGAUGGCUCAGGAGUUAAGAGCAGUUGUUCUAGCAGAGGACCUACAUUCCCUUCCCAGAACCCACCUGGUAAUCACAGCUGUCUAUAACUCCGUUCCAAGAGUUAGAGACAUAUAUGCUCUCUUCUGUCCUCUGUGGGUUCCAGGCACACAUAUGGUGCACAUGCAUACAUGCAGGCAAACACUCAUACAAUAAAAAUAAAUUGUCAGGAAUGGUGGUAUGCACCUUUAGUUCCAGCACUUGAAAGGCAAAGGUAAUCAGAUCUCUCUGAGUUGUUCAAGGCCAACCUUGAGUAGGGAGUUUUAGACCAGCCAGAGCUACAUAGUGAGACUGUCUCUCAAAUAAAGCAUGGAGAGAUGACUCAGUGGUUAGGAGCACUAGCUGCUAUUGCAGAGGACCUGAGAUCAGUUCCUAGCACCCACAUCAGGUGGCUCACAAUGGCCUGUAACUCCAGCUUCAGGGGAUUUCACUCCCUCUUCUAGUCUCCGAGGGCACUGCACUGACAUGCACAAACCCACACACAGACCAGACAACUGUGUUUUAAAAAAAUUCAGGGUCUGAGGUGAUAGGUCAGUCAAUAAAGUGGUUGCCAUGCAAGCACAAAGCCCCGCCUUGUCCCCAGGCAUGGAAGCUCACACUUGUAAUUCUGGUCUUUGGAGGUAGAGCCAAAAAGACCCCCUAGGGUUCACAAGCACCAGCCACACCUAUUGGUCCAGCUCCAGGUCCCAGUGAGAUACCCUGUCUGAGAACAAGGGAAGGGCUGGGAGAUGGCUUUAGUGGUAAAGAGAGCUUGUUGCCCCACACCUCCCCCCCCACACACACAUACAGGGUUUCUCUGAGUAGCCCUGGCUGUCCUGGAACUCACUCUGUAGACCAGGCUGGCCUCAAACUCACAGAGAUUCACCUGCCUCUGCCUCAAGAGUGCUGGGAUUAAAGGCGUGUGCCACCAUGCCUAGUAGCACUUGUUCUUGCAGAGGACCUGAGUUCAGUUCCUUGCAUCCACACAGUGGCUCACAACCAUCUGUAACUCCAGUUCCAAGAAAUCUCUUUGACCUAGGACACCAGGCACACACAUUCCUGAUAAACUGCACUUGAGGUUACACUCUGUACACACGCACGCACGGAGGAGGGUAAGAUUUUCAGACAGCUCAUGUGUCAUAAAAGCCUACAGUAGCACACACUGAUCCCAGCACACACUGAUCAGGAGGCAGAGGCAGGAAGAUCUACGGGACUUUGAGGCCAGCUUCGUCUACAGAGUGAGACCCUUUCUCUCAAAAGGAAAAAGAGUCGGGGAAAGGCCUAUGGCUGGGUGAAUUCAAUUCUGGAGCUUUGGGCCUGCCAGUGAGCUGUGCAGCUUCUUUGCUGGUUGACAUAGUCAAAGAACACAGCCUCUCUGGGACAAGUCUUUUUAUCUGCAAAAUAGCAAUAAUAAAUUAUUUUAGACCCUGGUAUAAUGGCAUGGACUUGAAAUCCCUGCAUCCAAGAGGGAUAGAGAAACUCAACCUAGAGGUCAGCCUGGGCUACCAAGUGAGACUGUAUUUCAAAAGAAAGGAGCUAGAGAAAUGGCUCAGUGGUUAAAAGCACUGGCUACUCUUUCAGGGGUUCCAGGUUCGGUUCCCAGCAUCCACAUAGUGGCUGGCAACUGUUUGUAACUCCAGUUCUAGGGAAUCUGACACCUUCUGGACUCUGCAGUCACCAUACACACAUGUAGACAAAACACACACAUAAAAUAAAUAUCUAUUUUUGUUUUUUUGAGACAGAGUUUUUCUGUGUAACAGCCCUGGAUGUCCUGGAACUUGCUCUAUAGAACAGGGCUGGCCUCAAACUCACAGAGAGCCUUUGCCUCCCAAAUUCUAGGAUUAAAGGUAUACAUCACUACCACCUGGCUAAAUAAUUUUUAAUUAAAGAAAAAAAAAAAGCAACUGGGGUGAGGCUCAAUGGCAACUUGCUGGCCCAGCAUACCAGUCCUGGCUCCAUCACCAGCACCUUAACAAUGAAAUGUUAUGGUAAAAACAUGUAAUCUCAGCAUUCAGGAGGUGGAGACUGGGGAUUAGAAAUUCAAGGUCAUCCUUGGCUACGGAGCAAGGUGGAGGCCAGCCUGGGAUACAUGAGACUCUCAAAACGAAAUCUUAGGGCUGAAAAGAUGGCUCGGUGGUUUAGAUCGCAUAUUGCUCUUUCAGAGAACCGGAGUUUGGUUCCCCAGCUCAGGACUACCUGUGGUUCCAACUCCAGGGGAUCUGGCACCCUCUUCUGGCUCUGUGGACACCUACACAUACAUGCACAUACCCAAAAAUAAAAGUCAAAUUCAUCUCAAAAAAGAGAGAACAUCUCCGCUUCCUAAGUAAUUGGGAGUCCUUGGAUGACAUCAGGACAGGAUUCUGUCAUAUCAACGACAAGCAGGACAAUGGCUCGUAAUAUAGAUCUGGCAUUACCUCUCUCUGAGGAAUAGGGAUUGAGAGAUGUUCUGCUGUGUCUCCCUGAACACACACACACACACACACACACACACACACACACACACACUGAGAGAUGAGAUGUUCUGCUGUGUCUCCCUGAACACACACACACACACACACCACACACACACACACACACUGAGAGAUGAGAUGUUCUGCUGUGUCUCCCUGAACACACACACACACUCACACACACACACACACACACACACACACACACACACACACACACCCCUACCUCCAUCACCACCGCACAUGAAUGCACGCUGACUACCCUCCUUUCCACCAAGUCCCAGCCCAGCUCUGUCCCUUUGGGGUCUGGGGGCAGCCCAGUGCCUCAGGCUGGCCAGCCUCCCCAGUCACCUCCGGAAGUGAGACAGCAUAUUCGUCCCGGGGACUAGAACGGGAAGGGCGGCCAUUUGGCCAGGCUGGUUUCCUGUGGGGUUUCCCCUACAAAGAGCCCAAGGCUGCGGCCAAGGCCACUCCCAUCCUCACACACCAGAGGUCUGUGUCUGGUGUGAAGGGACAUUACCACGCAGGUGUCCAGGAGCUGGGACAACCUGUACCAAAAAUUGUGCCUCUCUGCCUCAUAAGAAGAGGGGACCCAAAGGGGCAGAGGUCAGGCGCUGGAGACCACGGGGAACAGGGCGAGUCUUGGGCUGUGGCACCCCAGCCGGUGUCUGUACACACAGCCUUCAGGCCCUCGGCAUCUCUGGAGGACCCAUAGCGGACCCCAAGACGGAACCGGGGCAGAGGCCCCGCGGCGGUCCCCAAGCUUGAUCCUCAAAUACUUUCCACCCUCGCGCAGCAGCGAGGAUCGGAAAAUACCGAGGGCUGCAGGCCCCGCCCCACCCCGCCCCCGCCCCGGUCACCAGCGCUCGCUAAUGGCCCAGACUCUUCCCAGGAGCUUGGCGGCUGGGCCCGGGCCAGCCCGACCUGCGGCGCAGAUGCCUGCCCUCCACGCCGGUCCCCACGCAGGGACAGACAACCCGCUCGGUUUGGGGGCAGGGCAUGAGCAAGUGGGUGGGCCCGGUGCCGACCUGGGAGUGGAGGGGGCGCAGGAAGGGGUGAGGGAGUGCUGAAUCACUUGGUAUAAAUAGGGAAAGACAGCCACGUCCCACCCUCGCUGCCCGCCAGCCACACAGUCCAACCAAAUCCCCUACUCCAUUUCUUAAAAUUCCUUUUGCGGUGCUGGAGACGGACCCAGUGCCUGGCACGCGCUGGGCUAGUGCUCUACCACUGAGUCACAUCCCCAAUUCUUGCGUUCCCCUAAAGCCAAUUGGAGUCCACAGAGUGAAGUUCAUCCCAGGCCCUGGCCUAGCCUGGGACAGGAGAUGGAAGCAGGGACCUCCAACACUCAACUGGAAGGCUCUGGCUCACUCCCUUAACACUCCAAAACUUCCAGGAACUAGCCAGGCACCGUGAGGCAUGUCUGUCAUUCCACCAUUCAGAAGGCUGAAGCAGGAGGAUUGCAAUGUGUUCAAGACCAUUGUAGGCUAUGAAAUAUGACUGUCUCAAACCCCAAAACAGACUGGGGUGGAGUGCUUGCCUACUUUACAGGAAGCACAGGGUCAGUGGAUUCCAUCCUAAGCACAAAUCCUGCAUAGUGUUGCACACAGAUGGAAAAACUGAGGCAGAGACAUUCUCAGCGCUGUCUACACUUCCUCCAUAAAGAAAAGAACGUCCAUCUCAUACUUGAGAGAUGCAGGCUGGGGAGUGGGGAGUUCAAGACCACUGUUGGUUUUGUGGCAAGUGUGAUGCCAGCCAAGGAUACAAGAAACCCUGUUUCCAUCUGUUAAAAGGGAUGGAGAUGUAGCUCAGACAGUAGAGUGGUUCCUGGCUUGCACAGACCCUGGGUUCAACCCCCAGCACUUUGCAGGCCAGGAGUGAUGCAGGCCUGAGAUCCCAACACUCUGGCUGUGGCGACAGGAGCUUCCGAAGUUUGAGGCCAGCCUGGGACUCCAUCUCAAAAAGCAAAACAACUAGAAGCUGCUAUUGGAACAGGAACAGGGUAGGCACGGUGCUAGUGCUGCAUCCCAGAAAGCUGAGGCAGGAGAAUUGCAGCGAGUUCCAAGCCAACCUGGGCACACACUGUUCUGACUCAGCCUAUGCCCCAGAGAGACCCUCCCGUUCCCACACAGGCCUGUUUGCAGGGAAGUGCAGAAGGCUGGGGCUAGCUGGAAACAUCUGGCCUCCACUUGCAACAGGCACAGGGUGGCCAUGGCAUGGGGGUGCCUCGUGGGGCACCAGCCUUGGCUGUCUCUCUCCAGCAAGCAAGAAUCUGCCAAACUCAGAGGCCGGGCCAGCGCAGACAGGCCCGACCCCCUGGACACGCCCUGUCACGCAUAUGCGCCGCGUGCCAGCCCUGGGCUGGGCCCACAGCUAUUUUAAGGCCCCCUGGAAAGUCCUCAAGCAAGGCCUGACCAGUUGGGGGGUCUUAAGGAUGCUCUCAGGGUCCCCCACCCGGACAAAGACAGAGAGCCAUAAUGCUCCCCAGGGCUCGGGCCUCCGUGCUCCUCCCUUCUCAGCUCUGUGGUGGUGUGAACACAUGUGCCCAGGCUGGCCCAGGCACAGUGCGUGGGUGAGCGGCCCGGGCGAGCCCGCAUCACCUCGCCUGGAAGCCUGCGCACCUGUCGGGUUGCUCCUGCUUUGGGCUGGGCUGGCGGGGACAGCCCGGUGCCAGG